AGGUAUUUAGCAUCUGUGUGCGGUAGUCUAUUUUCUGUUUCACAUGGUAGACGUCUGCUCGCAGGCUAUGCCGCUUUCUGUUUCUGACUUGUGGCUUUUUUUCGCCAAAGGUUUGAUUAGGGAGGAAGAAUUACUUUUUUUGCCUAUAGUAAUUCCAGAUUGGUUGUAACUCGAUUAUAUAGAUCUCUGAGUCAUGACGUCUUCGGUGAACAGGGUAUAUUACAGGGAAAUGAACACUUAUUAUGACUGUUAUAUCUGACACUGUGUCAAGUUUGAGAGGCACCACCCUAUCUAAGUUUCUGUCAAGGAAAUGCUAAGUUGUACAAUUUUGUAAUGAAGUAAGUGUUUUAUAUCUUGCAGGGUACAGCAUUUUUACAUAUAUCUUUACAAUGGAUUCUUGCAAAGUUACCCGGUGUCAUGGGUGCAAGAUUAAAUAAACAAAAUUUAAAUACAAAAAUAAUUAGGGAAAGCUCAACUAAAAUGGAAUAAAAUUAUAACAAAUAAAUGUGGUCAGAUCAGAGAUGUUGGCCUUCAUCUUUGUGUCCAGUCAAUGAUAGUUCUUGGCCAGAAACGUUUCCAAUGGGUGCAUGUUAUCAUAGGUCAGCUCGUGUAAUGUGGGUGAACACAGGAGCCUGGUACCUAACAACUAAGACCUCGUCACCAUGCCCAUUCAUCAACUCGACUAAGAUGGCGGACAAUAACAGGCGAGCGAGAAGCGGAAAUAUAAAGAUCUGAAAGAUGAACCCAAGAAGCAUCUGUUAACUUCGAGCAGGCAAAAGAAAAUUUAGAAGUUAGAAGAAAUGAAGGAAAAGGAACGGAAACGGAAAGAUUUGUAUGUGUAGUUGGGCAGUAAGUUGACCUGUAAAUGUUUGGUUGAGAUAAAUUACAGCUAGGUUGUGGUUUACCUCUGUUGCGAGUAAAUUAUUGGAAGAGGUUUUACCCCACAGGAUCUAACUGACCUGUGAAAAAAAACCAAAGGGAAAGUCAUUGACAGUAACUCUAUAAAAUUCUAAGCAGUGAUUAAAGUGUUUAUCUCCAGAAGUACAUGCCAGGCCUCUAAUGUUAUCUGAGGUCAUGCUGGCUUGACAGUGUCAUAAAUCUGAACAUAGAGCCCCACCCAUGAAGUUAUCUGAGGUGGUGGCUAACACAACAUGGGAAUCACUUCAGACAGCUGGAGCUGCUGUUGUGUUCCUUUAGGUCUUAUAAGUAGUUUGACCUUUAAAUAUUGUGUUGUUUGGUUGAGGCAUGCCACUGUCAGCUUCAUGGUUUUGCUCUGUUCUGAGGUAUCGCAGGAGGUUUCACCCCACAGGUUCUAACUGACCUGUGAAAAAACUAAAACCAGAGGGUAAGUCAGUGAAAGGGGAGGUUUGUUGUACAUAGUUCUUACUAACAAUAAAAUGAUUGUUCAUCAUUUGGAGUACCAACCAGACCUGUGAAGUUAUCUGAAGUCAUGGUGGCUUGACAAUGCCAGAAAUUCAAAUGUCGAGCCCCACCCAUGAGGUCAUCUGAGGUGGUGGCUAACAGAACAUGGGAAUCACUUCAGGAAACUGAAGCUGACUGUUGUGUUCCUUUAGGUCUUAUAAGUACAUGUACUUUGACCUUUAAACAUUGUGUUGUUUGGUUUAGGCAUGCCAUUGUCAGCUUCACAGUUUUGCUCUGUUGCAAGUAAUCGCAGGAGGUUUCACCCGGCAGGUUCUAAAUGACCUGUGAAAAAACUUAAACCUGAUGAGAAGCCAGUGAAAGGUUCUAACUGACCUGUGAAAAAACUUAAACCAGAUGAGAAGCCAGUCAAAGCUUCAAGACCCAUUCACAUACCUGGCUUGACCUUAUCUUGGGCCAUUUCCAUAAGCUCCAUUUGGAAGAUAUGGGCUACACUAGUCGUAAUAUGGUCAGUUGAAAAGGACUAUGGAACCAGGCCACAUAAUUGUUGUGCAGUUGUGUUGGAUCAGUGGGUCUGUUUUAAGUGCCAAGUUUGCAGGAUUUACAGCUUCUCAUCAUGAUCUUCUUCAAACAACUUCGUCUGUAGUCUGUAGUCUUCUCGGGAAAGUGCCAUCUCACUUGAGAAUACCGUGGUUUCCAGGAAAAUUAGACAUUCUGAAGAAAAUGGUCAAUUGACUAGAAACAUGUCAGUGUUGAGGUUGCUGAAUUAAAGAUUUUAAAUCACUGAAAUUUGUUGUGUCUUUGCAUUAUCAGCUCAAUAAGAAGGGAAUUCGUUAUAAAAAACGAAUGCAUGCCACCCCUAUGACUCCCGAAAAGGUAAAACUUCAGGGAAAGAGUAAAACUGGAACAAUACAUUGCCAACAUAGCAAAUCGUAAUUCAGAAAUGAAGGGACGAGGAUAAAUUUAUAACUGAGAAAAUGACCCGAAUUGAUAAAAAAAAUCUCUUAGUUAUUGAGAUGUUGGAGUUAUCGAGGAGCGCUUUCCAUUCGACUAAAAAUUCCGAAAUUUUCGAUACGGAGUCAAAUGGUAUGGGAAUUUCCCGGGAAAAUGUCCAGAAAAUCGAGUAAUUUUGGAAUUUCCGAAAAGCGAACUAUUCAACCGAAAAUUCCGGGAUGAAAAUCAAAUGGAAAGGAAAUUUCCAGGAAAAAUGUUCGAAAAUUUGGGCAUACCUCAGAAGGUUGUCCUCUUUUUCGGAAAUCAGGUAAAUUGGCAAUUUUCUAUUCAGCGCUAGUUCUUUUGGCCGCGAUCACGUCAGCGUUUUGGACAUCUCACGCAAGGAUGACGGCGACGCGUAUUCGAAAAUGGAUUAAUACUUUACUUUAGAAUCUUGCCACUUGCCUGUCAAUAGAUGAUAGCGACAGCUAAAUUGUCAAGAAAGCGUUUAAUUCCAAUUAAAUAAAAUAUGCAUAGGUUGACCCUGAAAUGUACAAAGAUUUAUAACGCGUGCAAAGCCAUUGUGCCACUCAUUAAGCCCUCUAAACCAUUAAACCCGGAAAUUAACACCGGAAUAUUUGGUCGAAUGGAAAGCGCCCGAGGGUUCUUGUUUCCAAGGGUAAAAUAGCAAGAAAUGUCAGAAGCAAACGCAGGGAAAUCUGUUUUGGUUCGAGUUAGCGCUAGAUUCGAGUUACCGGGGCUAGGGUUAUUGGGUCUCAACUCUAAAUACCAUCCUAGUUUCAACGGGCAGGUUGCACACCUUGUGUGUAUUUUUACCAGGGAUGAAGAAAAUUUGGAUUGAAUUCUCUUUAACAAUUCAGUCAGAGUCCGUAUGUGUAAUGCGCAUGCGUAGCUGCAAAAGUAUGUGCCUUCAUUUACCAUAAAGAUUGAAAAUUCUUUAAGUGAUUUUAUUAACUGCGCUUGCGUAUUUGUGAAAGUAUCUUCCAGCAUCUACCAUAUGGAUAGAAAGCUCUAGUAGAUAAGGAAGUAAUUGAAACCUUUUGGGUGGGUGUUGAAAUUCAGCCCAAAAUAACGAUGUGCUCUCUCUUGCAUAAAAGUUUCCAGAAAAUCCGGAAAUGGUUGAAUUUCCGAAAAUCAAACCAUUCAACCCAGAAUUCAGGAAGAUCUUGGAGAAAAAGCGAAAUACUUUUUAUAGAAAAAGAAAUACAAAAGUCAAGUAAAGAAAAGAAAAGAAAAAGUCAAAUACCGGAAAAUACUGUUCAAUUCGUCACUUGAAACCGGAGAAUGUCGUCGAUGUAAUGCACCCAAAGAAACAGUGUUAUUGAUUCUGUAUUUAAAUUGCGCAUGCGCUUUUGGCAAACGUGAACCACAAAGACAAGACACUUUAUUACUAUAUAGGAAAUUGCUCUCCCUGGGCGUGGUGGUGGGGGUAGCGUUACAUUACAUUGUACAAUCAUACAUUGUACAUUAUCUUUUACUCUAUACACUACCAAAAAAAUUCUCUUUUUGGACAAAAAAAUACCCUUUUUUGGACAGUUUAACCUUGUCCAUCCCAAACCCCCUCCACCACCCUAACAUUUCAAUUUACUGUCUAUUCUCACUAGUUCAUCAUCCUUGUGGGACAUCUACGUUUAAUAGUACGCAUGCGCGUUGUUGCUUUUCCACAUUAAAGACCCCUGGUUUUCGGCUCUACCUUGAAAGGAAAAAGUUCAAUCCUUGAAAAAGUAAAAAAUCUGGGGUAGAUCCUCCACCAUCCCCCUCCAACACCCCCCAGAAGAAAUCAAUUACUUCUAUACCAAGAAGAGUUUUCUACCCAAGUGGUAGAUGGCCAAAGAUCCUUUCACAAUACGCUUGCGCAGUAAGUGAAAAGACUAUAACAAAUGCCUUUUAGACUUGUCCAUCCUUAUGGUAGAUAACGGAAGGUAUCCUUUAACAGACACGCAUGCGCAAUAGACUUAUGGAGCUGAAAAGUCCCAAUAGACUUUUCUAUCUUUGUGGUAGAUGGCAAUGGAUCCUCUUCCAGAUACGCAUGCGGAUAAGACAUAAGAAAGCUGCAGUGUUUUUCGAGCAAAUUGGUAGUGGUAGAUGGUGGAACACGAUGUCUAAAGGUAUAUUUUGUAACGUUUCGCUAAUUACACUGGAGUAUGUUCACUGUGUAUGAUUCGUGUUAACUGCAGAAGUAUUUUAGGCGUGAAUCCCUAAGGGGCUAGUAGGCUAUUUAAGAAUUUGUAAGUUAUGCAAGAGCCACUCGAAGGCAUC
rnacentral:lncRNA from 1 species